UCCAGAAGGACCAGAUUUGGGAGGAGAAGUUCAUGUGCUCAACUUUGGUCACACCGAGUGUAAGUGUUCCUGAGAUUUCAAAGCAAAAAUGUCAAGUAGGCAGCUAGACACGUGGGUCUGACACCAAGAGGGAAUGUCUGGAAUGGAGAUAUAAAUUUGUAAGUCAGAUAAAACUAUGGGCAGGUAUGAAGUUGCCCAGGAAGGGAAGUGAGAAGUGAAUAGAACCUCUCACCCAGCCUUGAGCAACUAUAACAUUUAAUGUCUUGUUAGAAGAGGAGUCUCUGAGGGAGAAGGGGAAGCCAUGGAGGACAAACCUGCCAAAAUACUGCAAGAAAAGAUGUUGCUGAUCACAGGGAGGAAAUACUCAAAGUCCCAUGAGAUAGUGUGUUCUUAAGAGACUUCCACACCAAGUCUGCUGACCUCAGAAGGACCAUCGGGCCACCACAAUCCCUGCUGAAGUCUGCUCAGGGCUAGGAGGUAUUUGGGAGUUCUUCAUUCACUUUGUUUCAACAUAGCACUCAGGAUUCUUUUAAUCUUCAAAUAUUGUUCAUUUUUUUGUUUUGUUUUUCAGAAGCAAAACAGAUGACAAAAAUGGACUUAGUAGGAAAUGAUUGAUUUGAUUAUAUUAUAUCCAUGUUAUAGGUAUUAUUUUGCUAUUAAAGCUAGUAGCUUUUAUCUCGAUAGUAAUAGCUAACAUUUAUCAAGGAUUUAGUAUGUGCUAGGUAAUGUUUGAAGUACUUCUCAUGAACUAACUAAUCCUUUUAAAUAAUUCCCUUAGAUAAAUAUUGUUAUCAAUCUCAUACCUGAGGGGUAGAGGCGUUAAAUUACUUUUCCAUGAUGACCUGGCCCAAUGAGUGUGAAGGCAGAUUUGAAACCAGGGUGACUGGCUCCAAAGCAAGUGCUCUUAACUAAUAUGGUUCCAUCCCUGUUCAAAUACAUCUUGAUCUGAAGUGGAAGCUAUGGUAUAUUGUUAAGGUACGAUGGGUAUUAUAUAGUAUUUGAAAACUGUAUUACAAAGUAAAGAAAUCAAUAAUGUGAGAAGCUAUUUACUACCUGUAUGACCUUGGUAAGUCUUAACCAUUCUAGGCUUUAUGAGGUCUUUUGCGUUUCAUUAAGUAAAGAUAAUAAUAUCUGCCCUGUAUACCUAAUCAAAUGAAAUCACAUGGAUAAAAGUACUCUGUCAAUUACUAUGUAACGAUCUUCUAUUAUUAAGAAUAUUAUUGUUAAUGUUACUAUAUAAAUAUUAAACAUACAUAAAAGACAUUAUAUAAAUUCUA